rnacentral:rRNA from 1 species
UCCCAGACUCCUACGGGAGGCAGCAGUAGGGAAUUUUCGUCAAUGGGCGCAAGCCUGAACGAGCGAUGCCGCGUGAGUGAAGAAGGCCUUCGGGUCGUAAAGCUCUUUUGCGGGGGAAAAAAGGCAGCAUCAGGAAAUGGGUGCUGACUGAUGGUGCCCCGCCAGAAAGUCACGGCUAACUACGUGCCAGCAGCCGCGGUAAUACGUAGGUGGCGAGCGUUAUCCGGAAUGAUUGGGCGUAAAGGGCGCGUAGGUGGGCGCUUAAGUCAGGUGUGAAAACUCCGGGCUCAACCUGGAGACUGCACUUGAAACUGGGUGUCUUGAGGGCAGGAGAGGAAAGUGGAAUUCCUAGUGUAGCGGUGAAAUGCGUAGAUAUUAGGAGGAACACCAGUGGCGAAGGCGGUCUGCUGGACAGUAACUGACGGUGAGGCGCGAAAGCGUGGGGAGCAAACAGGAUUAGAUACCCUCGUAC